CGUUUUGCUGUUAGUGGGUAACAAAUGGUUUUGUGUUAAAAAACUCUUUAAUAUUUUCUGAUCUUUUUUGCAGUGUCCGAUAGUUCUGACCUAGGUGAUUUUGGGAGUAACCUGAAAAAGGCUAUUGCGAGUGUUCCAUCCCAGCAGGUACAUGUACAAGUAGCCAGACCGAGGCCAAUAGCCAGACCAUGACUGAGACUGCCACAUUGAAAUAAUGAGUCAUCACACUCACAGUCUAGGUCCUGAACACCAGCAGCGCAUCUGGUAGUGGUCUGUAAUUAUUUCGACCUCGGUCAUCAAUACCAGCAGCCUCUGGUAGUCGACUUGGGUCAUCGCACCAGCAGCCUCUGGCAGUCAACUUGGCCUUGGGUUAUCAACACCAGCAGCCUCUGGUAGUCAUCAUAGGUCAUCAACGACAGCAGCCUCUGGUAGUCGACUUGGGUCAUCGCACCAGCAGCCUCUGGUAGUCAACAUGGGUCAUCAACACCAGCAGCCUCUGGCAGUCAACUUGGCCUUGGGUUAUCAACACCAGCAGCCGCUGGUAGUCAACAUGGGUCAUCAACACCAGCAGCCUCUGGCAGUCAACAUGGGUCAUCAACACCAGCAGCCUCUGGCAGUCAACUUGGCCUUGGGUUAUCAACACCAGCAGCCUCUGGUAGUCAACUUGGAUCAUCAACACCAGCAGUCUCUCGCAGUCGACUUCUUACCACUCAAAAUAUCCCUGGACUGCUGCCAAGUUCGCCAACUGCCACUGAUACUGAAGUGCUGCAUGCAUCGAAU